rnacentral:rRNA from 1 species
AUGCGGAUCAUAGCGCAGCUGAUUGAGGUGUUCUUGCUCAUCCUGAUCGCUGAAUGGGUGCCCUACAUUGCUGUCGCACAUGUGGUUGUGGUUCCUGAGAGUGCACACAGCCACGGCUACAUCUCCAAAAGAAUCAUGACAGGCAUCUCAGAUUGGCCGUCCUAG